CUAAAGGAGCGGCUCGGCAGCGUGCGAGCCGAGACCAGCGCUGGGGUUCUGGGUCACCUCCUUUCUCCCAGCUUCUUCCUAGCUCUCCGGUUCCUGAAUUAGCUGUUUGUUUAUGGCUACGGACGUGUGUGUGCCAGCGAGCCGAGCCAGCGCGCGAGGGAGGGAAUUGAUCUUUCCCCAGACUCAAAGCUGGAGCCGAAGAAGUGCGGGGAUUUGGGGUUCUGAGUGGGGCUCAGACCCUAGGUGCUGAGGGGAAGCCUGUGGCCUCUCUGGCCCGCUUCUCUAACCCCGGCGACCUUGCAGGAAUCCUCAGGCCUGAGAGCGCCCGGGCUCUGGGCUUUGCAGAAAGUGGCGGCGGCUAUGUCCUGGUCUUUAAAACCAACGCAAAGAAAGGAGGCAAAGCUGGAAGCUUGUCGCGUGUCAGAAGCAACCUGCCGUGAAAUCCGCUAAUGCGUCCCGACUCGCCCUUCGCGCAUGUAGCCACAGCAAAUUAUUGCUCAUUUGAUACCCAGAAUUCUAUUGACCAUGGCUUUCGUCGGAGAGAGAAUUCUAACUACUGGCUGCUCUGGGCUCAGAGCUGAGGCUAGAAGCAAGUAAAUCCAGCCCUGGCCAGCAAGAAUUGAUGGAGUGGUGCUGGUGGUUGGAGCCCCGUGGGCUUGCAUAGAAACCUGCUUUUUAUUCUGCCUGCCUUGCUCCAAUUCAGGGAAAAGGUUGGCCCCUUUGGAACAGAUUGGCUUACUUGGAAGGCCAGAUAUUCAUUUGGCAAGUUCUUUCCAGCUCUAGCCAGGCUGAGGGAGAAAAUGAGACAAUGGAAGAUUGCUCCUCAGGCUUUUGGUCAAAGCUAACCCAAGUGAGGAAUACUUGAAGAAAUAUUGAAAUCAAAACCAGGCCUUUUGAUUCUGCUACAUGAAUGUCAUGUCCUAAAUUUCAACACCCACACCCCCACUCCUUCAAGACUCUACGGCACUGCAGAGCUGCCAGAGCAGAGAAAGCACGCUGAGAUCUGAGUCUGGUUGGCAGUGGGCAUCCAGCCUCCAUGACAGGAGCCACAGCUAUAGUGUCCAACUGUGUGAAGAAACCUGUGCCAAGAGAAUAUCUGAUCUUGGAUUCUGGAACUCACAGCUCUGGGUUGCUGGGGGAGAGUUAGUCCCAAAAUGAGGAUGGAGAAGAGGGCAGGUGAAUUUCCCAGGAAGCCAGAUAUGGAGUUUGCAUUCCUGUUGCAAGGAGCUGGUGCUGGAGACUCAAAGACUUGACCUGCCAAAGGGUGCCUGCCCAUCUCCUUCCUGGCCUAGUCAGGGACCUACACCUCACCUCCUUACUGCCUCCAUCUGGGAAAAAAGUCACCCUGACUCAAAGGAGAGCACGUCUAAGAGGAUCAGACCACAGAACCUGUCCGAUUUCCAAAGAACAAGCACUCCAUACCCUUCUCCUUCAGCCCUGACACCUAGAGAGUCUGUGGAAGAGAUGCCUGGCAGGGGUUUCAUUUCAACAAGUUCUGGGAGCUUAACCUUCUAGGCCAGUUCCCAGAGCAACAAUAAGAACAUUUUAAAAAGCAAUUAACGAUUUUCUAAAUGAGUCCCAGCAUGUGCCACCUGACUCCGAACCUAAAGGUGCAUUUAAGGGUGCUAAGGGCUGGGUAGUAUUUGUUUUUUGUUUUUCUAAUGAUUCUGCUAAAUGUGUAUGAAUCCACAGUCAAGAAGCCACGUUGUUCCAGAACCAGGCAGUAAAAAAACGUAGGCGUGGGUACUGCAGACAGCAUGCCCAACACGGAGUACAGGAAAUGUGGAGUAUGGGAGAUGUGGAGAAACUGCGGCAAAUUCUGACACUUACAUUGAAGAUAUUGGGAGUUUGAAGGAAGAUACAUUGUGGGCUCUUUUGUGUUUUUUAUGUAGAUUUAAAAACAAACAAAAUCCCCCAAACCCGGCUGUUGAUGUAAUCAUAGCAUCUCAGAUGUAGUAUAUUUGCCCAAGUAUAUGUCACAGAAUAUGUGCGUAUGUAUGUAUAUAUCCUGUGAUAUAUAUCCUAGGUUGGUGUGGAAAAUAAACAUUUUGCUGAUUCCAGCCCAAGCUCUGAAAGCCAAAACAAACAAACAAGCCACUAUGGGAGACAAGGGGAGAGUAGCUUCAAGCGGUCCUUCCUAUGGGGGUGUCUGGCUGAGGUCUGGGGCUGUGGGGUCCAGAAAAGCAAAGCAGAUCAUCCGGAACUAAAAGUUACCUUGAGAAACAAGACUUGAGACCUGAGGUUGAGGUCACAUGGAGGUCACCCAGGGUUCCUUCGGAGCAGAGCUGAGCUGAGAAUUUAGCUGGACUCAGUUGCUUCAGACUGGAGGUUGGGAAAUCUCCUUCCCCUGGCACCCACGCACAAUACCAAUCUGGUCCUGAGUUAAGGUGUCCUCACCUCUCCCUGGGGAGGCUCCUGUCUGAGGUACUGCACUUCCCAACUGCCUUAGGCCCCUCAGGGUGUUGCCAGGCAAAUGAAACAAAAAGAACUCAAUAGUAAAUUAUUUUGUUCAGCCUUCUGUCUUUUUAUGAAAAUAAAAGGCAACACUUUGUCAUUUUUAAUCGC